GAUUUCAGUACGGGAUCAUGGCUGUUGGGUUUUAUGGGUGUUUUACGGUCUUUCAUGUUCAUUUGGGUGAAUCUGAAAAUGUUCUCUUGAUAAAAAAUAAAAUCCCAGAAAUAAUAAUUUUCAUGUAGAACAAGGUGCAAUUAAGUUUUUUUUUUUCCCUUGCUAGAAGCAUGUGCUUUGAAUCCAACACUUACUUUAGUCUCUGUUUUGCUGCAGUAGGAUUUCUGAAUUAAUAAUGGGUUAUAGAGUUUUAUGUAUUGGAAUAUGGAUGAGCAUAAUUGUAGAAUCUUAUUUUAGUUGACCUAUGCAAAGCCUUGUUCUAAGCCAAUUUAAUUUGUAAUAAAAUUGCAAUGAAUUCAGAUUUGAUGUUUCUCAUGGUAAAUUUUUUGAAUUUAAUAGCUUAGUGUUUAGUUGUUGAGCUAUUUCAAAUGCUAGUCGAACUUGAGCUAUUUCAAAUGCUCAAGUGUUCAGUCAUUGUUGAGAAGGUGGAGUCUAGGUCAUGCUCCCAGUGGAGGGUUGCCCCUGUUCCCAAUGAGUUUGAUUAAUUGGCUCAUAACAAGGUCUAUCCAUAUGUACUAUCAACACAUAUGCUAUUUUUAAGAAAUAAUUUGUUAAGUAACCAGUUUAAUGAAUAAAUCCUUGUCUUUAAGAUUCUAGCUGUACAUCUUUGAAGCUGCAGGUGUAUGGUGAUUUAGGAAGAUUGUGGUGAUGCAGCUGUGGAGACUUUGAAUCAGUUCCUUGGUUGGUGCAAGCUCUCAUUAUUUUUCGUAAGGUAUUCCUACAAGUAAAUCUGGGUUACCAUCAUCAAUUGUAUCCUAAUUUCUUUUGCUUCUGUUUUUCUCAGAUGCAGUUAGAUGGAGUAUUGAUACCUUUGGCCUGGGAUCAAAAAUGGUACUAGAAAUCAUAACGGCAAACAUUGUGAUACUGAUCAAACCUUGGUGGGAGGGGCCGUAAAUUAUGUAUAGACAUGGUGUUCUAUUUUUUUAAGUUUGUAAAUAUGAUAAAGCAGGCUAUGUAAUUUCUCACUGAUGCAAUAGAAAUAUUUACUAUCAAUUUUUAUGAGGUUAAAUAAUUUAUUUAUUGGUGUAAUACUGGUAGUUGAAUGAUAAAAGAGGAUAAAAUUUUGGGGUGAGAUAAUUGGCAUUUUCA